rnacentral:rRNA from 1 species
CAGGCUUAACACAUGCAAGUCGAGGGGCAGCAUGGUCUUAGCUUGCUAAGGCCGAUGGCGACCGGCGCACGGGUGAGUAACACGUAUCCAACCUGCCGUCUACUCUUGGACAGCCUUCUGAAAGGAAGAUUAAUACAAGAUGGCAUCAUGAGUCCGCAUGUUCACAUGAUUAAAGGUAUUCCGGUAGACGAUGGGGAUGCGUUCCAUUAGAUAGUAGGCGGGGUAACGGCCCACCUAGUCUUCGAUGGGUAGGGGUUCUGAGAGGAAGGUCCCCCACAUUGGAACUGAGACACGGUCCAAACUCCUACGGGAGGCAGCAGUGAGGAAUAUUGGUCAAUGGGCGAGAGCCUGAACCAGCCAAGUAGCGUGAAGGAUGACUGCCCUAUGGGUUGUAAACUUCUUUUAUAAAGGAAUAAAGUCGGGUAUGGAUACCCGUUUGCAUGUACUUUAUGAAUAAGGAUCGGCUAACUCCGUGCCAGCAGCCGCGGUAAUACGGAGGAUCCGAGCGUUAUCCGGAUUUAUUGGGUUUAAAGGGAGCGUAGAUGGAUGUUUAAGUCAGUUGUGAAAGUUUGCGGCUCAACCGUAAAAUUGCAGUUGAUACUGGAUAUCUUGAGUGCAGUUGAGGCAGGCGGAAUUCGUGGUGUAGCGGUGAAAUGCUUAGAUAUCACGAAGAACUCCGAUUGCGAAGGCAGCCUGCUAAGCUGCAACUGACAUUGAGGCUCGAAAGUGUGGGUAUCAAACAGGAUUAGAUACCCUGGUAGUCCACACGGUAAACGAUGAAUACUCGCUGUUUGCGAUAUACAGCAAGCGGCCAAGCGAAAGCGUUAAGUAUUCCACCUGGGGAGUACGCCGGCAACGGUGAAACUCAAAGGAAUUGACGGGGGCCCGCACAAGCGGAGGAACAUGUGGUUUAAUUCGAUGAUACGCGAGGAACCUUACCCGGGCUUAAAUUGCAGAUGAAUUACGGUGAAAGCCGUAAGCCGCAAGGCAUCUGUGAAGGUGCUGCAUGGUUGUCGUCAGCUCGUGCCGUGAGGUGUCGGCUUAAGUGCCAUAACGAGCGCAACCCUUGUUGUCAGUUACUAACAGGUUCUGCUGAGGACUCUGACAAGACUGCCAUCGUAAGAUGUGAGGAAGGUGGGGAUGACGUCAAAUCAGCACGGCCCUUACGUCCGGGGCUACACACGUGUUACAAUGGGGGGUACAGAGGGCCGCUACCACGCGAGUGGAUGCCAAUCCCCAAAACCUCUCUCAGUUCGGACUGGAGUCUGCAACCCGACUCCACGAAGCUGGAUUCGCUAGUAAUCGCGCAUCAGCCACGGCGCGGUGAAUACGUUCCCGGGCCUUGUACACACCGCCCGUCAAGCCAUGGGAGCCGGGGGUACCUGAAGUGCGUAACCGCGAGGAGCGCCCUAGGGUAAAACUGGUGACUGGGGCUAAG